rnacentral:rRNA from 1 species
GACGAACGCUGGCGGCGUGCCUAAUACAUGCAAGUCGAGCGAAGAUUUUCUGGUGCUUGCACUAGAAAAACUUAGCGGCGAACGGGUGAGUAACACGUAAAGAACCUGCCUCAUAGACUGGGACAACUAUUGGAAACGAUAGCUAAUACCGGAUAACAGCAUUAACUGCAUGGUUGAAGUUUAAAAGUUGGUUUUGCUAACACAAUGAGAUGGCUUUGCGGUGCAUUAGCUAGUUGGUGGGGAAAAGGCUUACCAAGGCGACGAUGCAUAGCCGACCUGAGAGGGUGAUCGGCCACACUGGGACUGAGACACGGCCCAGACUCCUACGGGAGGCAGCAGUAGGGAAUCUUCCGCAAUGGGCGAAAGCCUGACGGAGCAACGCCGCGUGAGUGAAGAAGGAUUUCGGUUCGUAAAGCUCUGUUGUUAGGGAAGAAUGAUUGUGUAGUAACUAUACACAGUAGAGACGGUACCUAACCAGAAAGCCACGGCUAACUACGUG